GACGAACGCUGGCGGCGUGCUUAACACAUGCAAGUCGAACGGAAAGGCUCCAGCUUGCUGGAGUACUCGAGUGGCGAACGGGUGAGUAACACGUGGGUGAUCUGCCCUGCACUUCGGGAUAAGCCUGGGAAACUGGGUCUAAUACCGGAUAGGACCGCACUUUGGUGUGUGUGGUGGAAAGGUUUUUCUGGUGUGGGAUGAGCUCGCGGCCUAUCAGUUUGUUGGUGGGGUAAUGGCCUACCAAGACGGCGACGGGUAGCCGGCCUGAGAGGGUGGACGGUCACAUUGGGACUGAGAUACGGCCCAGACUCCUACGGGAGGCAGCAGUGGGGAAUAUUGCACAAUGGGGGAAACCCUGAUGCAGCGACGCCGCGUGGGGGAUGAAGGCCUUCGGGUUGUAAACUCCUUUCGCUAGGUACGAAGCUUUUUGUGACGGUACCUGGAGAAGAAGCACCGGCUAACUACGUG
rnacentral:rRNA from 1 species